rnacentral:sRNA from 1 species
CCCUAGCCCCGAUAGCAGUGAAAAUCCUUUUGUGCCGGUGUUCGGCACAAAAGAUUGGAACGUAUAGCGGGAAGAGCU